rnacentral:rRNA from 1 species
UGGGGAAUCUUCCGCAAUGGGCGAAAGCCUGACGGAGCAACGCCGCGUGAGUGAAGACGGCCUUCGGGUUGUAAAACUCUGUGAUUCGGGACGAAAGAUAAGCAGACGAAUAAUCUGCAUAAGUGACGGUACCGAAAAAGCAAGCCACGGCUAACUACGUGCCAGCAGCCGCGGUAAUACGUAGGUGGCAAGCGUUGUCCGGAAUUAUUGGGCGUAAAGCGAGCGCAGGCGGCUACUUAAGUCCAUCUUAAAAGUGCGGGGCUUAACCCCGUGAUGGGAUGGAAACUGAGAAGCUGGAGUGUCGGAGAGGAAAGUGGAAUUCCUAGUGUAGCGGUGAAAUGCGUAGAGAUUAGGAAGAACACCGGUGGCGAAGGCGACUUUCUGGACGACAACUGACGCUUAGGCGCGAAAGCGUGGGGAGCAAACAGG